rnacentral:snRNA from 1 species
GUGCUCCCUUCAGCAGCACAUAUACUAAAAUUGGAAUGAUACAGAGCAGAUUAGCACGGCCCCUGCGCAAGGAUGACACACUCAAGGUAUCCUCUGAGAAAAAAUAA